UGCACCGUUUCACUUUUUUCUAAUAUCUUCCUGUAUUUUUUAAGAAAUUAAAUCUUAAGAACAAAUAGAAGGGCUUGAUUUGUGGUUGCCAAAUUAAUAUAUUUUUAUACAUAUUUAUUAUUCUGAAUGUCAUUUUUUUUAUAUAUAAUUUCUCAGGAAUUUUUCAACACAGAGUAUUUUAGAGAGAGAGAGAGAGAGAAAAAAAAAAAGGUUAAUUCUUUAAAGUGACAAAGUCAUAUAUCAAAGAAAUAAAGAAUGCAAUACAACUUCAGAACAAGGUUCUGAGAGCUGAAGAUCAUGAGUACAAUUUCCAGAAAGGUAAUACAGAUAUCCAGUACCAGCUGUGAGCCCCCAACAAAGAAAAUAUUUCGAUAAGAAUCAUUUUAUUUCAUUCUCUCAGAUAGUUUUUCUGUCCCAAUUUUUUUCUGAAUGAUCACUUGUUGAAGAAUAAACAUACAGUUCACAUCUCUUGACUGCUAUAACUUGUGUGACAAAUAAGCAGAAUUUAGUCACUUCUGGUAAACUUAAUACUUCCAGAAGCAAUGCUGACUUUUUUUUUUUUUUUUUUUCCCUCCCCAGAGAUUACUCCUUCAAAAGAAUAGAAUGCCUCCACUAUUUAAUAGCAGGAAUUUCAUCAGACAACAACAAACCUUUAUUACAGAUAACUAGAAUGAGCCAGUUGGAAACUAAAAGAGCAUCCUCUGCUGCAGAACACCAGAUGCUGUUUUCCAUAAAGUAAGAAUCUAGCAUCUAUCUGGAUGUCCAGCUGGAAAACUAGAGGAAAGGACCUUGAGGGAUUCCCUCGGUUAUGAUGAAAGCUGGUAAACCAGUCACAUGUUCAAAGCCGGGCAACUUCUUUACAAAAGUAGCUUCUUCUGGAUGGAAAAUAAUCACUCCAUAAAAGUGCAUGUCAGAAUACUCUAAUUUUUUUUUCUAUUUUGCAAUUCAGAACAUUUUCAAAAUGUAAAUGGCCCCCCAAAAGAAGACCUUUUAGGGGGAGUUUUGACUGUGAUUCUUGUUAAAAAAUAAUGACCGUGCCAUUUUCCCACAUGGUGUUUUUCUUUCUUGCCAGAAAUUUACCUCCUGUUAUUUACAGGAAGAAGUUUGGCCUGGGUUCCUUCUGUGCUCCCAAUUCAUAUUAAAGAAAUAGCAAAUGCUGUCAUUAAUAAAUAUAUAAAUAAAUAAAUAAAUUUCUAACUU
rnacentral:lncRNA from 1 species